rnacentral:rRNA from 1 species
GACGAACGCUGGCGGCGUGCUUAACACAUGCAAGUCGAACGGAGAGGCCCUGCUUUUGUGGGGUGCUCGAGGGGCGAACGGGUGAGUAACACGUGAGUAACCUGCCCUUGACUUUGGGAGAACUUCAGGAAAGUGGGGCUAAUACCGGAUAGGAGCUCCUGCUGCAUGGUGGGGGUUGGAAAGUGUCGGCGGUUGGGGAUGGACUCGCGGCUUAUCAGCUUGUUGGUGGGGUAGUGGCUUACCAAGGCUUUGACGGGUAGCCGGCCGGAGAGGGUGAGCGGACACACUAGGACUGGGAUACGGCCCAGCCUACUACCGGAGGCAGCGGUGGGGAAGAUUGCACCAUGGGCGGGAGCCUGAUGCAGCGAAGCCGCGUGGGGGAAGACGGCCAUUGGGUUGUUAACCGCUUUCGCCUGUGCCGAAGCGUGAGUGACGGUAAUGGGUAAAGAAGCCCCGGCUAACUACGUG